rnacentral:rRNA from 1 species
CCUGGACAAAGACUGACGCUCAGGUGCGAAAGCGUGGGAGCAAACAGGAUUAGAUACCCUGGUAGUCCACGCUGUAAACGAUGUCGAUUUGAAGGUUGUUCCCUUGAGGAGUGGCUUUCGGAGCUAACGCGUUAAAUCGACCGCCUGGGGAGUACGGCCGCAAGGUUAAAACUCAAAUGAAUUGACGGGGGCCCGCACAAGCGGUGGAGCAUGUGGUUUAAUUCGAUGCAACGCGAAGAACCUUACCUACUCUUGACAUCCAGAGAACUUAGCAGAGAUGCUUUGGUGCCUUCGGGAACUCUGAGACAGGUGCUGCAUGGCUGUCGUCAGCUCGUGUUGUGAAAUGUUGGGUUAAGUCCCGCAACGAGCGCAACCCUUAUCCUUUGUUGCCAGCGAUUCGGUCGGGAACUCAAAGGAGACUGCCGGUGAUAAACCGGAGGAAGGUGGGGAUGACGUCAAGUCAUCAUGGCCCUUACGAGUAGGGCUACACACGUGCUACAAUGGCGUAUACAAAGAGAAGCGACCUCGCGAGAGCAAGCGGAACUCAUAAAGUACGUCGUAGUCCGGAUUGGAGUCUGCAACUCGACUCCAUGAAGUCGGAAUCGCUAGUAAUCGUAGAUCAGAAUGCUACGGUGAAUACGUUCCCGGGCCUUGUACACACCGCCCGUCACACCAUGGGAGUGGGUUGCAAAAGAAGUAGGUAGCUUAACCUUCGGGAGGGCGCUUACCACUUUGUGAUUCAUGACUGGGGUGAAGUCGUA